rnacentral:lncRNA from 1 species
UUACACUCAAUUUCUCUUGGUCAUAAUUUCAGUUUUAGUUUUACUAUUAUGGGGAACUAACUUCCUAACUAAGGGCAAGUGGAGUAUAUAUAGCUUAGUUAGUUGAGCUUUUUCACAUCCAACUAUCUGGGCAGAGGUUAGAAACCCCCAGACAUCCAAUGAAUAUUUGUAUAAACCCUCUCCUCCAAUUAGGGAUGGCAAUGGGUCCGAAUCGGGGGUGAGUAUAUGAUUCACAUCCCCAUUCCCAUUAAUCAUUUUUCCCUCAAUCCCGCCUUCAUACUCACAAUAUUCAAAUCGGGGAUUCUUCAUAUCCGCCAUCGUUGAAGAACGAGUUCUU